rnacentral:misc_RNA from 1 species
GAUGAAGAACUUAGCGAAAUGCGAUACGUAAUGUGAAUUGCAGAAUUCAGUGAAUCAUCGAAUCUUUGAACGCAUAUUGCGCUCUCUGGUAUUCCGGAGAGCAUGCUUGUUUGAGUAUCAGUAAACACCUCAACUUCCAUAUCUUUUUUUGAAAUGGGAGUAGGACUUGAGUGAUCCCAACGCUUUUCCUCACCGAAAAGUGGCGGGUUACUUGAAAUGCAGGUGCAGCUGGACUUUUCUCUGAGCUAUAAGCAUAUCUAUUUAGUCUGCCUAAAAAACAGAUUAUUACCUUUGCUGCAGCUAACAUAAAGGAGAUUAGUUCUUGUGCUGACUGAUGCAGGAUUCACAAAGACAGCUUCGGCCGACUUUGUAAACUCGAUCUCAAAUCAAGUAAGACUACCCGCUGAACUUAAGCAUAUCAAUAAGCGGAGGA